CUUUUACUGUUUGUUGGGGUUGAUGUGUUCCCAAAUGAGUGCUCUGAACUGGGUAAAUCAUGGCCAAUCUACCUUCCCUGUGGUUGCUGGGACAAUGAGGGGUAUCUGACUCAACACUGACCAAUGAGACAGGAAGACGAGUUUUAAAGAAGAAACCUGAGAUGCCGAAGAAUUGUCAAGAAUUAAACACGAAGUUUUGCAGCUAUAUAGCCUUUAAAUCAAAAGAUAAUCAAGUGCUUCUCAUGUUUCAGAUCAUCAAUGUGAUGAAUACAGUAUUCAAAAUGCAAGCAUGGGAUGCAAUGUCUGUAUAACGUCAGUGAGAGGGUGAAGAAAGAGCUGGGAAAGUCAUCUGAUAGCCUAUGUGUCAUGGUGAAGAACUUAAGAAAGCCCCGUUUUUCUUUCCCCACUUCCUUCCUUCCUCUUCCAACUGUUUUGCUUGCUUGUUUGUUUGUUUGUUUUUGUUUUGUUUCAUGAUUAUAUCUGGAAAGGCAGUGCAUCUGUAAUCACGAUAGAAUUCUCUAUUUCUGGAAUAUAAAUAAAGUCACUUCCAACUUGAUCUCACCCACGGUUAUUCAGAAUUUUAUAGGUCGUUCAUGUGCAAUAAUAGAAUUCUGCUAAAUAAACGUGUUAAAACGA
rnacentral:lncRNA from 1 species